UGGGGAAUUUUGGACAAUGGGCGAAAGCCUGAUCCAGCAAUGCCGCGUGUGUGAAGAAGGCCUUCGGGUUGUAAAGCACUUUUGUCCGGAAAGAAAUCCUUGGCUCUAAUACAGUCGGGGGAUACGGUACCGGAAGAAUAAGCACCGGCUAACUACGUGCCAGCAGCCGCGGUAAUACGUAGGGUGCAAGCGUUAAUCGGAAUUACUGGGCGUAAAGCGUGCGCAGGCGGUUUGCUAAGACCGAUGUGAAAUCCCCCGGGCUCAACCUGGGACUGCAUUGGUGACUGGCAGGCUAGAGNAUGGCAGAGGGGGUAGAAUUCCACGUGUACAGUGAAAUGCGUAGAGAUGUGGAGGAAUACCGAUGGCGAAGGCAGCCCCCUGGCCAAUACUGACGCUCAUGCACGAAAGGUGGGGAGCAAACAGGAUUAGAUACCCUGGUAGUCCAC
rnacentral:rRNA from 1 species